GCAGAGCAUGGGUCAUUAUUGGAAUAUGCUAUCUGCUCCCCAGAGACCUAUGUUGGAUAAAUUUUAAAAAAUGCAAGGAACUUCUAAUAUGCUCAUUUAUUUUGGUAUGCUACUGGUAAAAACAGAUAAAAAUAACUAAAUUUAGAGACAGUUCAGGAUUUCCAAAAUAAUCUGUUGCUUAAUGUGCUAGAAUUUUAGUGCCGAUAUGAUGAUAAUAUAUUCUAUUACUGAGGCCAUGGGGAAGCAGGUAUGCUCAUAUAUUGCUGUGAGAAUACAAAUUUGUACAAUCUUUGGGGAAAAAAAUUGGUUGAACCUAGCAAAGUGAGACAUAUUUACCUUUCUACCCAGCAACUUCACUUCUAAUACUCUAUUCUGAAGAUGUACUUCCAAUAAUAGAUACAUAUGAACGAGACUCAUGAAAACAUUGUAUACAAGGUUAUUUGCUGAAGCACUGUUUGUAGGUAGUUAUAAAUAGUUUAAAGCAGAUUAUAGGACAGUAGUAGCAUGAACCAUGGCACAUUCAUACAAUGCUGUACUAUGCAGCUGUACAAAAGAAUGAGGAAGAGCUCUGAAAACACAACAGUCCAAAAUCUUUGGGAUGAAGCAAAAGCUGUUCUAACAGGGAAGUUUAUAGCAAUACAGGCCUACUUCAAGAAACAAGAAAAAUCCCUAAUAAAUAAUCUAAUUUUACGCAUAAGGAAAUAGAAAAAGAAUAAACAAAACCCAAAGCCAGUAGAAGGAAAGAAAUUAUAAAGAUUAGAACAGAAAUAAAUGAGAAUAAAAACAACACAAUGAAACCAGAAGCUAGAUCUUUGAAAAGAUAAACAAAAUUGAUAAACCAGAGUAAAGCCAGACUCAUCAAGAAAAAAAGAGAAAGGACUCAAAAUCACAAAUGAAGGAGGACAAGUAAUAACUGACACCACAAAAAUACAAAGGAUUAUGAGAAGAUUAUGAAAAAUUAUAUGCCAACAAACUGGACAACCUAGAAGUAAUGCAUGUAACCCUCCAAAACCAAAUCAGGAAGAAACAGAAAAUUUGAACAGACCAAUUACCAGCAAUGAAGUGGAAUCAGUAAUUAAAAAAUUCCUGAUAAACAAAAGUCCAGGACUAGAUGGCUUCACAGGUGAGUUCUACCAAACAUUUACAUAGGAGUGGAUAACUCUUCUCAAAUGAUCCAAAAACAUAGAAGAGAAAGGAGAACUUCCAAAUUCAUUUGGUGAGUACAUUAUUACCCUGAUGAAUACAGAUGCAAAAAUACUCAACAAAAUAUUGUGAAACUGCAUCUAACAAUACAUUAAAAAAAAUCAUUCACCACAAUCAAGUGGGAUUUAUUCUCAGGAUGCAGAAUUGGUUCAAUAUUCACAGAUCAAUCACCAUGAUACAUCACAUCCAUAAGAAAAGGGAUAAACCAUAUGAUCAUUUCAAUAGAUGCAGAAAAAGGAUCUGAAAAAGUACAAUAUCCAUUCAUGAUAAAAAUCCUCAGCGAAGUAGGGUAAGAGGGAAUAUACCUCAACAUAAUACAGGUCAUAUAUGAAAAAUGCAUAUCUAACAUCAUAUUCAAUAGUGAAAAACUGAGAGCUUUGCUCCUAAGGUCAGGAACAAGUCAAGGAUGCCCACUCUCACCACUUUUAUUCAAUACUAGAAGUCCUAGCUCACCAUUUUUAUUCAAGCUACAGCAGACGGAGGGAAAAAAAAAAAAGAAGAAAAAAAAA
rnacentral:lncRNA from 1 species